rnacentral:misc_RNA from 1 species
UCUCCGUAGGUGAACCUGCGGAAGGAUCAUUAACACGAACAAAAUGUUCCAAAACCUUUUUGGAUCAACGCCAACCUUUGAAAAGGCGAACCUAGUUGUAUUUUUCUCCUUUUUCUAUUUUGUUUUUCUCAAACGCAACUUCUCAUGGAAAUUGACUAGAAUCGUGUGAUUUGUUCCAAUCCUAUCACCUCUUUCUCCUCUCCUCUCCUCUCCUCGUGAGAUGAGAUGGGAUGUGAGAUGGGAGAUGGGGGGUGGGUUUGGAACUAACCAUUCCUAACGCUAAAACAACUCUUAACAACGGAUAUCUUGGCUCUC